rnacentral:hammerhead_ribozyme from 1 species
AGCUGGCAGAAUAGUCUCAAAUAGGGCGAAAUGCGCAUCCUGGAU